CCUUGCACUCACCGCCCGUCACAUCACCCGAGUCUGGUGCUCCCGAAGUCGCUGGCCGAACCGCAAGGGACGGAGGCGCCGAAGGAGUGCCGGUAAGGGGGUG
rnacentral:rRNA from 1 species